UACGGAGGAUGCGAGCGUUAUCCGGAUUUAUUGGGUUUAAAGGGUGCGUAGGCGGCUUUUUAAGUCAGCGGUGAAAUUUUGCAGCUUAACUGUAAAAGUGCCAUCGAUACUGGUUUCCUUGAGUGUAGAUGAAGUAGGCGGAAUUUGUGGUGUAGCGGUGAAAUGCAUAGAUAUCACGAGGAACUCCGAUUGCGCAGGCAGCUUACUAAACUACUACUGACGCUCAGGCACGAAGGCGUGGGGAUCAAACAGGAUUAGAUACCCU
rnacentral:rRNA from 1 species